AACACGUAUCCAACUUGCCGUCUACUCUUGGACAGCCUUCUGAAGGAAGAUUAAUACAAGAUGGCAUCAUGAGUUCACAUGUUCACAUGAUUAAAGGUAUUCCGGUAGACGAUGGGGAUGCGUUCCAUUAGAUAGUAGGCGGGGUAACGGCCCACCUAGUCUUAGAUGGAUAGGGGUUCUGAGAGGAAGGUCCCCCACAUUGGAACUGAGACACGGUCCAA
rnacentral:rRNA from 1 species